rnacentral:tRNA from 1 species
AGUAGAGUCAGCUAAAUAAGCUAUCGGGCCCAUACCCCGAAAAUGUCACACAGGCCUCUACUA